rnacentral:rRNA from 1 species
UACGUAGGGUGCGAGCGUUAAUCGGAAUUACUGGGCGUAAAGCGUGCGCAGGCGGUUUUGUAAGACAGAUGUGAAAUCCCCGGGCUCCCCCUGGGAACUGCCUUUGUGACUGCAAGGCUAGAGUACGGCAGAGGGGGGUAGAAUUCCACGUGUAGCAGGGAAAUGCGUAGAUAUGUGGAGGAACACCGGUGGCGAAGGCGGUGGUCUGGGCCGGCACUGACGCUGAGGAGCGAAAGCGUGGGGAGCAAACAGG